AGUGAACGCUGGCGGCAGGCCUAACACAUGCAAGUCGAACGGCAGCACAGUAAGAGCUUGCUCUUACGGGUGGCGAGUGGCGGACGGGUGAGGAAUACAUCGGCAUCUACUUUUUCGUGGGGGAUAACGUAGGGAAACUUACGCUAAUACCGCAUACGACCUACGGGUGAAAGCAGGGGAUAUUCGGACCUUGCGCGAUAGAAUGAGCCGAUGUCGGAUUAGCUAGUUGGCGGGGUAAAGGCCCACCAAGGCGACGAUCCGUAGCUGGUCUGAGAGGAUGAUCGGCCACACUGGAACUGAGACACGGUCCAGACUACUACGGGAGGCAGCAGUGGGGAAUAUUGGGCAAUGGGCGCAAGCCUGAUCCAGCCAUACCGCGUGGGUGAAGAAGGCCUUCGGGUUGUGAAGCCCUUCUGUUGGGAAAGAACAGCAGCAGGUUGAUACCCCGCUGUUCUGACGGUACCCAAAGAAUAAGCACCGGCUAACUUCGUG
rnacentral:rRNA from 1 species